GUGUAAAUACGGGCAAUGCCUACAUAUAUGUAAAUAGCAUUUAGAAAAACAUUUCAAUUGCAGUGCAUCGUCAUGAUUAAGUAUUUGUGUUUUUUGUUAGUUAGUUAUGUUUUCUGUAACGGAGAUUUGGAUUCCAACGCUCAAGUCUAUAAUGAGUUGCCUUGUCUUCUCGCUAAUGGAGUUUGCACCAAAGGUUCUUGUCCAUCAAAAACUCUAGAGGGCUUUUGUCCUACACAACAAUCAAGCGAGGUAGAAUGCUGCGUGUCUUUAUCAGCAAAUCCGUGCCACAAUCAUCAAGGCGCAUGUCUGCCCAAGGAAUACAACUGUCCAACAAUAUUGACAUUCAACGAUGCCGAUGAUUGCGCAGAUGAUGAAAAAUGCUGUAUAUUAGUUCACUGAAUAAAAUAUAAUCAUUAUUUUCAAUAUUGUUGUAUAUAAUAUAUCAUAAAAAUUAAUUCAAAUU